AGAAAGUGAAAUGGAAUCUUCGUUUUUCCAGCGGCGAGACGAUCAAAGAUAGAUAGGCUGGUCGGGGCUUUCCCUCCUUCUGAUCUGACGAUCGGUCUUUGAAGCUUGGCUUGAUUGAUUAGAAAAGUGAACCAAAUUCCAUCCUGACUAUCGGGAACAGAAGGGAUAGCGUUGUAAGACCCGCACUGUUUAAGGUUUGGUGUGGAAUCGCUCGGUAGAUAGGUGGAGGAUAGGGGCUUUCUGUCCUUACUUGGAUAACGGGUACAAUCGGACUGGAACUUCAACCUCAAUUUCUGAGACCCUUUGUUUAGGGUCUAACAGCAUAUUGAUUUAGGGAACCCUGCUAUUGUCACUGUCACGUUAACCUCCCUAAAUACGAUAGGAAAGAGGAGCACAGGCUUUCGAGCUAUCUUCCAACCAAAAGGGCCCUCACUGUAUGAAGACCUACAACAGGGUACACACUGGCGCUUGACGAGUUUGCUACUGACUUGAAACUAAACCUGUCCUUACUUUUACUAAGCCUUACAAGAGAGUUCAUGAUAGGAAGUACUUUUUUAUGGGGAUAGGCGUUAUAACUCAGAUAAGAAAGCAGGCUUUCCUAACCAAAGGCUUACUACUGGCUUGCGGAACUGACUGAAUGGAAUAAAAGAUAGCUUGAGGGCUUGAAACUGAUGCUUAAAUAACUUCCCUAAACUGUCCUUACGUUCUCUAUAGGAUAGGGUACUAAAAGGUUUACAGACUGGGGCGAAGAUAUGGAACUACGUGACGUGUAUAAGAUCAUCUUCCCUUUCAAUCGGAUAUGCCCCUCCUUUAGGAUCUGCCUUUCAAGCAAGUGUUCUAGCCAGCGAGGAGGGCGCAGGUAGAGCUCAUCAAUCACCAAGCUUUGUGCCUCAUAGAAAAAAGCCCCCGUAGCGAGUCUAACUCAAAGUCAUCCAAUAGUUAGACGGUAUGGAAUCAUUAGAUUCGUUAUCACGCUUAUCCAGUCCAACCAGGCUGGCUUUUCAACUGGGCUUGAGGAGGCUAUCUUGUUUACCCGAAAUCUACUCACUUAUACUAACGGGCACUGAGACUGGCUUUCGAAAACACUCGUAUCAGGGAUGAGAAAGUACGGACUUGAGAGUACGGGUCUUUUUCUUCCUUACAUUAGCGCUACCGGCUGGAAAGGCUGUGGAAUGACUUCUCGCUCAUUUAUCUAAGGUAAGGGCGAUGAACCCCGCCUCCCCUAUCAUAUCUUAGGGGUCUUCCCCUGUCGGGUAUAUAGGGGGUUUAGUACCUUUCGCAAAGCUAUGUCGUAUUUGAAGUAGAGUGAGACCUCUGUCUUGCUUGAACUUGAACUCUCUUGUCGAAAGGAAAGCUAAACGAUCGGGCUUGGCUUCCAACCAAUGCUUCCCCUCCCCUUCCAAUAGACCAACUCGCUUUUCAAGAUACAUCCGCCCUUCCCGGGCUUGCUACUCUUGGCAGGAAAGCUCUAGGACUCAAGGCACCACGUAUCUAAACCGGAAAAUUGAAUGGCUAUCCAAAGUACCCUUGCUUGCCCAGUUUUGAACAUAGAAGUUAGAAUCUAUUUUAUAUAUAUAUAUUCACUUCCCUUUUUUAAGCAUAUUCAAAAAAGGAGGAAAAGAGUUGGUUGGGAGAGAGGAUCAGCCUCAGCUCCAUAAGCCUUAGCAUGUUCAACCGAGAACCAAUCCUAGUGUUUUCAAUCAGUGCAUUGGUAGCCGAAGCAUUCAACCCUAUCUGUAACCCCUAUGAUCGAGCGCCUGUAUCUGAAGUGUUGAGCGCUUUAUCCAUAUAUAUAUACGUAGAAACCACUUGUUUCGGGAUAAAAAAAACCCGUUAUAUUCAUUUGACCUAUUGUGAAAG
rnacentral:lncRNA from 1 species